GGACCUCCUUUUGUAGUUUAGGCUGGGCCUGAACUCACUGUGUAGCCCAGGCUGGCCUCAAAAUCCCAGCGAUCCUCCUGCCUCAGCCUACCCAGUGCUGGGAUCACAGGCAUGCACCACCAUGCCCG
rnacentral:miRNA from 1 species